GACUGAAUUUGACUUUGUAAAGUGAUGACAUGUUUCAUGAAUCGGCGCUAUAUAAAUAAAAUUUAAUUUAGUUGAACAUCAAGAAUACUGUUGUUACAUAAAAUACAGCAGACCAGUCAUGUAGUAAUUGUUUGGAAAACUUUAGUGACCUGCACACAGCACCUGCCAAGCUGUGUGCAUGCACCACAGCCAUCUUGCCAUCUCAGUUCAGGAAACUGAACUAGGUAGCUUCCUUUGUUGCGCCUACCCCAGGCAGAUACAUUUAACCCUUUUCAGUUUGGAGAUGUUCAAGCGGUAGUAGAUAAGCUUCCACCUAUGCCAGGAGGAGGUAAUCUGUGGCCAGGAGAAUUGUAUGUGUUGACUAAGGGGCUGACAUUAGUUCUGGGAGACUUUAGGGCCAUAUUGGGAAAAUGUGUCACUAGAACCACAGCAGCUGAAACUGAAACAGCAGCCAAAAAGUUUACAUAUUCUGAUAAAACCAGGCUAACCUCUGUGAUUACUGCCCUUGGACAGGCAAUAAGAGAAAAGUUUCCCAUGUCCAAUCCAGCACCAGUUCCUAAAUUUCAGUGGGAUACAGAACAGCAUCCCGAGGAGUUCUUGGACAAGGCGGUAGAAGUAUGGAUCAGGCACACUGGCAGUCACACAGGUAAUGACUCAUCUCUUAAUUUAUUAUUAUAAAUCAUGAUCAAUUAUCUUAAAUGGCGUACCACACAUAGUAAGAGACAGAAUGAAAAAUCCUCAAAUAGGUUGUGAACAUCCUAAAUGGGGAAAACAUUUUAUUCAUCACCUCACCAGAGCUCAAGAUGCAAAGCAAAAGGAGAAAGAGGAACGUGAGGAGCUGCAGAACCAGCCAUUGAAGCUGCCACUGUCAGAGACCAGACAAAAAGCAGAUGAUAAAAAGACAAUAAAAAAGAGGAGGUCGGGUUUUUUUUGUUUGGUUGGAAGCUCGGUCGGAACGAAGAUUGGUCUGCAGUGUGCAGUGUGCACAUUCACAGACGGGAUUCCAGAUGGCGAGCCAGACCUAGACCUUCAAUUCAUCUUCUCCAUGGCAUCAAGGAGAGACUCUCCUGCGUGUGGUAAUUCACUGCAGCAAGCGGUAGGAAUAUCAGGAACCAGUUCGAAUGGAAUUCAACAGAACUGAGAAUUGAUUGAAUUAUUAUUUUUUUUUGGACUAAAUCAAACUGAGACUUUUUGUUGAACUGAACAUCUGAACUUACAUUGGGACUUCAACUUGGAUUUAAAGUGCCAUACUUUGAUUUUCAUAUGUUUGUGUCUCUGAAUAUGAUUUGAACAAUUGUGGUCCGUUUUGAUUUGUGUUUGAAAGUAUUUCCGAACCUGUAAAAGAAAGGAUAACGAGUUAACUCAGGAAGAAAAACAGGAAUCUUAAAAUAGGUGCAACCUAGGAAAAAAAGAGACUGGUCUAAUUAACUCAAAUUAGUCCGCCUAAAAUAACCUAGGAGAACCGAGAUUGGUCUAAUUAAAUUAGAUUAAUCUUAUUAAAAUAAACUAGGUGAAUUAAAGAGAAAAAA